rnacentral:rRNA from 1 species
AACGACUCUCGACAACGGAUAUCUCGGCUCUUGCAUCGAUGAAGAACGUAGCGAAAUGCGAUACUUGGUGUGAAUUGCAGAAUCCCGUGAACCAUCGAGUCUUUGAACGCAAGUUGCGCCCGAAGCCACUAGGCUGAGGGCACGUCUGCCUGGGUGUCACGC